rnacentral:rRNA from 1 species
CCUACGGGUGACAGCAGUGAGGAAUAUUGGUCAAUGGACGAGAGUCUGAACCAGCCAAGUAGCGUGAAGGAUGACUGCCCUCUGGGUUGUAAACUUCUUUUAUAUGGGAAUAAAAUGUUCCACGUGUGGCAUUUUGUAUGUACCAUAUGCAUAAGGAUCGGCUAACUCCGUGCCAGCAGCCGCGGUAAUACGGAGGGUCCGAGCGGUAUCCGGAUUUAUUGGGGUUAAAGGGAGCGUAGGUGGAUUGGUAAGUCAGUUGUGAAAGUUUGCGGCUCAACCGUAAAAAUGCAGUUGAAACUGGCAGACUUGAGUGCGGUAGAGGGGGGCGGAAUUCGUGGUGUAGCGGUGAAAUGCGUAGAUAUCACGAAGAACUCCGAUGGCGAAGGCAGCUCACUGGACUGCAACUGACACUGAGGCUCGAAAGUGUGGGGAUCAAACAGGAUUAGAUACCCCAGUAGUC